AGCUGCAGCUUUUGCUGGAGCCUCGAUAGGAGGGAAUCAAGCCCAGCCCUCUCCAGCUGGGGCAGGAGGGGUUAAAGCUGCUCCUCACAGGGACCCUGUGGAUUCACUGCAGGUGACACUUGCAGAGCUGCUCCAGCAGUGCAGAGAAAAGGCAGUGGAUCAAAUAGUGAAGUCUUAGAGACUGUAACAGGUGAACUUGGAAACCACCACACCUCACAUGAUACUUUUGGGAAGAAAACAUCAAAAUCUUCCAAGUAAAGCCACAUUUUCCUGAAUGCUCCCAUCUCCUGGCACUCUUACAGCCAUUUCUGGAGUAAAUGCUCUGCACACACAGAGCACUGACUGUGGACUGAAUCUCUGAAUAGUCAUUGAAAGCUUUUGUCUGUGUUUACUGCUCUUCAGUGAAGCUCCUAUUUUUGUCUUCAGUGCUUUUGGUUUUCAGAAGUGUUUCUACAGAGAAUCAAGGGCUGAGUUUCCAUUUUCAGCUCUCUGUAGGACUUCAUUCCAAGAUUCCCUGAUGAGACUCAUAAAUUAUUGCAUCCUACACCCGUUUUUAUCUCACACAUAUUAAUCUAAACAAAAAUAGGUGGAAAAAUAAGAAGAAUGAAAUGUUAUUGCUGCCUGCAGCUGCCUGGUGGAGAGGUAGAAGGAGGUGCAGCCAGACUCUUUAAGUUAUCUGUAAUUUCUGGUGAAUAAUACAAGCAAAUGCUUCUGCCUGAAAAUAUAUUACCACAUAACUUCUCCUCACUGAAAACCAUGGAAACUUUGCAUCCAUAACAGAAGUUCAGCACUAAAGUGAUCCAGUCACAACAUAAGCAGUUGUGUGAAUUUUCUCCGGCUCUAUAUAGGAUGUGCAAACACAGCUUUGCUCUGUUUCUUCCAGAAAGAAAUGGAUGCAUACAUCCUAAAAAGGAGCUGUGAGAUUGAAUAUAGAUGAAUAUGAAUUCAGCUCCACACAGCAAUUCCUCCCAGCUCAACAAGCAGGAGCUCUGAAUUUUGGGUGACCAACUUUGUCCUCCGUGGGUUUGCUGCAAUGGAAGAACAUCCAGCACCAGCGCAGUGAUGGGGUGAGGAGCAGGAGAUGAGUGUCAAAGUGGUAGAAGAAAGACCUGGGCAGCACAUUUGUGUUAUGCUUGGUAACUGCACUGCUGUUAUGGCUGAGACCUUGUUGCUUAUUAGGGUGUUAAAACUUGGUUGGACAGUUUCUGAUGGACUCAUGUGAAAGUGCAAUCUUUUAUCCUUUCCAGCCUCACAACGUUUUUGUGCAUAGCAGAACUGUGUGAACAGAAAUGUACAUCAAAUAUUGCUCAAGUAAAAUGCAUUUUUGGUACUUGCACAUCUGUAAACUUGCUAAA